rnacentral:lncRNA from 10 species
AACUUAAAGGACAUGAUCUUCCUUCUGAAAGACUCGCUUCCCAAAACUGAAAUGACCUCCCUAAGUUUCCUGGCAUUUCUAGAGAAACAAGGUAAAAUAGAUGAAGAUAAUCUGACAUGCCUGGAGGACCUCUGCAAAACAGUUGUACCUAAACUUUUGAGAAACAUAGAGAAAUACAAAAGAGAGAAAGGUAAGUAGCUUGUGAUUGCUAACUUGGACCAGACCAUGGAAAUUCUUAAACCAAUUGGCCAUGCAUGAUGUUUUGAUUAUUUGUUUUGUUUUGUUUUGUUUUGAGGCAGAGUCUCACUCACUCUGUCACCCAGGCUGGAGUGCAGUGGUGUGAUCUUGGCUCACUGAAACCUCCGCCUCCCGGGUUCAAGUGAUUCUUCUGCCUCAACCUCCCGAGUAGCUGGGAUUACAGGAGCCUGCCACCACGCCUGGCUAAUUUUUGUAUUUUUAGUAGCGACAGGGUUU